AGUGAACGCUGGCGGUAGGCCUAACACAUGCAAGUCGAACGGCAGCACAGUAAGAGCUUGCUCUUACGGGUGGCGAGUGGCGGACGGGUGAGGAAUACAUCGGCAUCUACUUUUUCGUGGGGGAUAACGUAGGGAAACUUACGCUAAUACCGCAUACGACCUACGGGUGAAAGCAGGGGAUCUUCGGACCUUGCGCGAUUGAAUGAGCCGAUGUCGGAUUAGCUAGUUGGCGGGGUAAAGGCCCACCAAGGCGACGAUCCGUAGCUGGUCUGAGAGGAUGAUCAGCCACACUGGAACUGAGACACGGUCCAGACUCCUACGGGAGGCAGCAGUGGGGAAUAUUGGACAAUGGGCGCAAGCCUGAUCCAGCCAUGCCGCGUGGGUGAAGAAGGCCUUCGGGUUGUAAAGCCCUUUUGUUGGGAAAGAAAAGCAGCAGGUUAAUACCCCGCUGUUCUGACGGUACCCAAAGAAUAAGCACCGGCUAACUUCGUG
rnacentral:rRNA from 1 species